rnacentral:lncRNA from 1 species
AAACACAAGCAAAGAAGAUUUUUGAAAGGGGGGAGAUAUUUUGAAACUAAAGAAAUGGGGAGGAGAUGAAGAGACUAAUCCUAAGCAUAAAUUUAAAAGUUGAGAGUUGAAAAAGAUCUGACCAAUUGGUUGCAAUCCAAUAGACAAGAGUGUCAUAUAGAAACCCAAAUUCCCUUGAACAUUAGAAUCAAGCAACAAAUAAUGCACAAUAUAUUAACUUGAAGAGCAAGGCAUCAAAUAAAGAUAGCCACAUCCAGGUGUAACACCCCAAAAUUUUCCCUCCUUAUUCACGCAUUCAUUUUUAGGUCCUUUAACAUUAGAUACAUUGCAUUUCAUCAUGUCAAUCGGGAUUAGCUCCAAGAAGCUUGAACAUCAUCCAGGACACUUUGUGGGUUCUAUUUAGAUGAUCAGUCAACAUAAGGGAAAGACUUGAGUUACUUCCAACAGGGGUCUAUUCGUCAGUCAAAACGUUAAUCUUGAAGGAGCAAAGGUUUGUUCAUGAGC